UUUCCUUUCCUCUCCGAAACCCCCGCGCGCCCCUCUUCUCUCCCCGUCACAACCCGUGCCCUAACCGUCGACCGUCGAUGGUUUUCCUCCUCAUAUUCCUUUUCUUCUUCCCAUACAACCUCUUCUCACCGUGCCUAGUCUUCUAUUCAUCGCACUACCGCUCGACGCCGCACUCCUCUUCUCCCAAGCGUCGGCGACGAAUCUGCCACCACCGACCUACUGUCGGCCUUGUGUGCCGAGCACCGACAUCCGAGCCCUAGCCGUCAUCGUCGCACGGAGCAGCGCUGCCGACCUCCCUUGUGUCCUAGCGCUACUGUUUCCCUCUGCCCUAGUGACGACAGCCGGCCGCCGGCGCCCCUUUCCAGCGCCCUCCUUCCUUCCGAGCAGUGUAGAUUGGCCUAGGGCUCGAGUUCACCUACAUACUUCCUGCCGUGCCUAGUAGUGAUCCUUAAGAUCAUAACUUGGAUAUUCUUCUCUGUUCUUGAUCAUCCCUUCCUUGAGGUGCAUUUAGGUCAUGGUUGAGGUAAAUUGAAAUUCAGAUGAUAGUGCAUUUCAGGGAUAAUUUGGCUAAUUAUGGAUGUUGGUGUUGAGAUGAUGAAGGAACAGUGAACUCUUUCUUCACAGAUCACAGGGGAUUGUUUUGUUGUCCUGUUGCUAUAUUAGAGGACUUUGACACGAGACGUGUAUCUCGACUACCAGUUUGGACUUUUCG